rnacentral:lncRNA from 10 species
CUUGUGGCUAAAAUUCAUCCUACAAAGGCAAUCUAGUCCCCAGGCAAGAAGGAGGUCUGCUUUGGAAAAGGGCUGUUACCGUCUUUGUUUAAACUAUAAACUUUCUCCCAAAGUUAGUUCAGUCUACGCCCAGGAAUGAACAAGGACAGCUUGGAGGUUAGAAGCAAGAAGGAGUCAGUUAAGUUAGACUUCUUUCACUGUCUCAGUCAUAAUUUUGCAAAGGUGGUUUCACUACUCUACUGAAUACUGAAGACAGUUGUAACACAAUGGGAGCCAUUUCUUCUGUAUAUUGAGUGUCCAGGAAGGCAGAAGAGGAUCUCUAAUGAUAAAGAACACAGAACAGACCAAAUUUAUUCUUGCUUAAGCCCAUUGCUUCAACCUGAUUAGUCAGAUAAACAGACUUCGAGUUCAGCCCACAGAGCAAUAAAUAUUCUGUCUCCUUGUCUACUUUCUCUUACACAGAAAGAUAAUUCUCAGCAAAGCUCACGAAUAAACAAAAUAAAUGUAGGUCCUUGAGAUUGUUUUCCAAACCUUUUGCCUGUCUUUAUGACCUACAGUUUUGUUCAAAUAAAAAAUACUGAACAAGAAUGUAAGAGUAUUCCAGGUAGUGGGGACCUACAAAGCCUUAAAGGCAAUGGAGAAGUUGGCAUGUUUCAGGGAAAGGACAGCAGAUCAGUAUGGCUGGCGUCCAGCAUGGAAAGGGGCACCAGAUGUGGCUGGGAGGCUAAGCAGGUCCAAGUCCUGUAGGGAGUUAGGACUUGCUUCUCAGGACAAAUCCGUAGAGCAGAUGCUUCUGGUGCCAAGAGGGGCUGGCCCAGUGGGGAGGGGAUUACUUGGAAAUGGUUGUGCCCACUUGCUUUUGAAAACAAUCAUGGUGGAGUGAAGAGGUAUG